UUCUGACUGACUGAACACAGCUGAGCAGCCCUCGAGGACUGGAAUUGGCCACCCCUGGCAAUGGCAGCUCUUCUACAGCUUCAGGAAAAAUACUUCUUCAGAAGAGGACUGGGUGAUUUUUUUUCAUCAGCUGCCUGUUCACCACCAGAGUUCAGCACUCCAUCUCCAUAGGCAAGAUCCUCCUCCAGCUGGGCUUGCGACAAGACCAGGCUGCACAGAAUCAGUGGUGUCACUGUCGCCCUGAGCUUCUUCACACACUGGAUCUUGGUCUUCCUCUUCAUGUCCUGGAUGUAAGGUGCACAGAAUGAUGGCCUUCCCUGUCUCAGCACACUGCCUGGAGCCAGCCCCAGCCCACACUGAGUGAGAGGCGUUGUACAGUCGGGAUAGGCUUCUAGUGUAUCACCUAGACGGAUGCAGUUUAAGCUGCAUGGUUUUGCACUGUGGUACGAAGCUGGAGAAGAACCCACAGACUGGUGCUAACCACUGCAUGAAGCAGCUUUUUUUGACCUCACUAUUUUACCCGCACCAGUACAGAACUGUGCGGCCAAGUCUCAGCAGCUCAGUGUUUGUUGUGCACUGCAUCAUUAUGCAGCUUUUAUCUGACUUAGAAUGU